AUGGCGACCGAGGGCCUCCGGAUGCUGCUGGCGGACGCCUCUCGCUCUCCGUGGGGCGUCGCCGGCGCCGCGGCGGCCGUGGCGCUGCUGUGGUUCGCCGCCUGGGUCCUGGAGUGGGCGUGGUGGACGCCGCGGCGGCUGGGCCGGGCUCUCCGGGCCCAGGGAAUCAGGGGCACCCGGUACCGCCUCUUCACCGGCGACAUACCGGAGAACGCCCGGUGCAACGCUGUGGCCCGGUCGCGGCCCAUGCCGCUCGGCUCCCACGACAUCACCCCCCGCGUGCUGCCCAUGUUCUCCAACGCCAUCAAGGAGCACGGGAAAGUGUCCUUCACUUGGUUUGGCCCAACGCCAAGGGUGAUGAUUCCAGACCCAGAAUUAGUGAGAGAAAUUCUGUCCAACAAGUUUGGGCACUUCGGGAAACAGAGGAGCACCCGUAUUGGGAAGCUGCUAGCCAACGGGCUUGCAAAUCAUGAAGGAGAGAAAUGGGCAAAGCACCGAAGAAUCCUCAAUCCUGCAUUUCACCAUGAGAAGAUAAAGAGGAUGCUGCCAGUUUUUUCUGCCUGCUGUGAAGAGAUGAUUACAAGAUGGGGGAAUUCGAUGUCCGCUGACGGAUCAUGUGAGAUUGACUUCUGUCCUGAGUUCCAGAAUCUUACCGGAGAUGUCAUCUCGAGAACAGCAUUUGGUAGCAAUUUUCAGGAGGGGAUGAAAAUAUUCCAGCUGCAAGGGGAGUUAGGUGAACGGCUGAUACAGGCAUUUCAGACACUUUUUAUCCCAGGCUAUUGGUUCUUCCCAACAAAGAACAACAGAAGGAUGAGAGCAAUUGAUCGUGAGAUCCGCAUGAUUCUGCGAGGCAUUAUUGGGAAAAAGGAAAGAGCUAUUAAAAAUGGUGAAGCUAGCAGCGAUGACUUGCUAGGAUUGCUGUUGGAGUCAAAUAUGCAACAAUCAAAUGGGAAGGCAAAUCUAGGACUGAGUAUUGAAGAUAUAAUUCAGGAAUGCAAGCUAUUUUACUUUGCAGGUAUGGAGACAACAUCGGUCUUGCUCACAUGGACACUAAUUGUGCUAAGCAUGCACCCAGAGUGGCAAGAGCAGGCAAGAGAGGAAGUGUUGCAUCACUUUGGAAGAACCACACCUGAUUUUGAGAACUUGGGUCGCCUGAAGAUUGUAACAAUGAUUUUUUAUGAGGUUCUUAGGUUGUACCCCCCAAUAACCUUCCUCACGAGAAGAACUUACAAGGCAAUGGAGCUUGGCGGCAUCAAAUAUCCGGCAGGCGUGAACCUUAUGUUGCCAAUUCUCUUUAUCCACCAUGACCCUGAUAUUUGGGGAAAAGAUGCAAGGGAAUUCAAUCCACAGAGGUUUGCUGAUGGCAUCUCAAAUGCAGCGAAGCAUCCGGCGGCAUUCUUUCCUUUUGGAGGGGGUCCUCGGAUAUGCAUCGGCCAGAACUUUGCGUUGCUGGAAGCAAAGAUGGCUCUGAGCAUCAUCCUCCAGCGCUUCUCCUUCGAGCUCUCGCCGUCCUACGUCCAUGCACCGUACACCGUGAUAACCCUGCAGCCGCAGCAUGGUGCUCAAAUUAGGCUGAAGAAGAUAUGA
rnacentral:rRNA from 1 species